ACUGUCACAUCAUCACUUAAC
rnacentral:miRNA from 1 species